AGGUUCGAAGAGAAGUAAGAGAAUUUGCAUCUACCCCAGCUCUUCUUAGAACAGUAAGUACAUAAUAAAUACCCUCAUUCCCAUUUUUAAUUCCCCUAAAGGCCUCCUUGAGUGGUUAAUUCACAUAGGUUCGAAGAGAAGUAAGAGAAUUUGCAUCUACCCCAGCUCUUCUUAGAACAGUAAGUACAUAAUAAAUACCCUGAUUCCCAUUUUUAAUUCCCCUAAAGGCCUCCUUGAGUGGUUAAUUCACCCAGGUUCGAAGAGAAGUAAGAGAAUUUGCAUCUACCCCAGCUCUUCUUAGAACAGUAAGUACAUAAUAAAUACCCUAAUUCCCAUUUUUAAUUCCCCUAAAGGCCUCCUUGAGUGGUUAAUUCACAUAGGUUCGAAGAGAAGUAAGAGAAUUUGCAUCUACCCCAGUUCUUCUUAGAACAGUAAGUACAUAAUAAAUACCCUCAUUCCCAUUUUUAAUUCCCCUAAAGGCCUCCUUGAGUGGUUAAUUCACCCAGGUUCGAAGAGAAGUAAGAGAAUUUGCAUCUACCCCAGCUCUUCUUAGAACAGCCUCCUUGAGUGGUUAAUUCACAUAGGUUCGAAGAGAAGUAAGAGAAUUUGCAUCUACCCCAGUUCUUCUUAGAACAGUAAGUACAUAAUAAAUACCCUAAUUCCCAUUUUUAAUUCCCCUAAAAGCCUCCUUGAGUGGUUAAUUCGCCCAGGUUCGAAGAGAAGUAAGAGAAUUUGCAUCUACCCCAGCUCUUCUUAGAACAGUAAGUACAUAAUAAAUAUGCUAAUUCCCAUUUUUAAUUCCCCUAAAGGCCUCCUUGAGUGGUUAAUUCACCCAGGUUCGAAGAGAAGUAAGAGAAUUUGCAUCUACCCCAGCUCUUCUUAGAACAGCCUCCUUGAGUGGUUAAUUCACAUAGGUUCGAAGAGAAGUAAGAGAAUUUGCAUCUACCCCAGCUCUUCUUAGAACAGUAAGUACAUAAUA